rnacentral:lncRNA from 1 species
AUUCAUUGCUAUUAGUAGAUGAGUGAAUCUGAUUAUUAGCUUCCUUCUUCUCAAUAAAAAGUUUUAAAUAUUCCCAUUGUUUUGUGCUCUAUUUCUGCUGUAGCAGAGUUUUCAUUUUUGCUUGCUUGAUUUUCUGUCGUAGUGUGCCAACAUUUUUUGUAUCAGAGCAAGGUUCGAUUGACGUUGGGCGUUGGAGUUCUUUU